GACGAACGCUGGCGGCGUGCUUAACACAUGCAAGUCGAACGAAGUGGCGAACGGGUGAGUAACGCGUAAUCAACCUGCCCUUCAGAGGGGGAAAAAAGUUGGAAACGACUGCUAAUACCGCAUACUGAAGGAGGGGAUUGCGUCUGAUUAGCUAGUUGGCGGGGUAACGGCCGACCAAGGAGAUGAUCAGUAGCCGGUCCGAGAGGAAGAACGGCCACAUUGGGACUGAGACACGGCCCAGACUUCUACGGGAGGCAGCCGUUGGGAAUCUUCCGCAAUGGACGAAAGUCUGACGGAGCAACGCCGCGGGAGUGAGGACGGCCUUCGGGUUGUAAAGCUCUGUUAAUCGGGACGCGGUACCGGAAUAGAAAGCCACGGCUAACUACGUGCCAGCAGCCGCGGUAAUAC
rnacentral:rRNA from 1 species